CUAAGUCAGCUGCUCUCGGAUUGCGCGGCCAGAGAGAAACUGAGAUGGGGACAGAAAAGUGAGAGAGAGGGAAACAGGGUCAUCAUGUCCUGUGUCCCCAGGGGGUCAUCAUCUGGGAGUGGAGAGGACACUAACCUGCCUUAUGAGCAUUUCAAGAUUCUUGGGACAGAGAAACGACAAUGCAUCAUGGACAUUUGGCAAUGUCUGGAGACAAUUUUGGUUCUCACACUGGAGGGGCAUUACUGGAAUCAACUGGAUAGAAGCCAAGGAUGCUGCUAACAUCCUACGACGCACAGAGCACCCUGCCACAGCAAAGAACCAUCUGUUCCAAGCAAGACCAACGGUGCCGAGGACAAUCUCACAAAUUGAUAAGGAUUCACUCACUGCUAUUUUCUCCUUGUUUGGAAAAUAUGUAAUCAAGAAAUCCACUAUCCUCCAUGGAGACAGACACCACCAAGGACAAGGACCUGGAUUCAUUAUCUCCUCCCCACAAAGAGAUACAGGCUGGUGGGAGAGCUGCUGACCAGCAAUGUCAUGGGCUCCCUCCUCUCUGCAAGUGUCUCAAGGCCAAAGACAGGCUGGUGGGAAAGCUCCAACCAGCAAGCCCAUAUGCUCCCCCUCCCCUACCUAAAACCCCAAAUAAAAACCCUUCCUUUUAGCUUUUCCGGGAGUUCGGGAUUUCAGCAUUAGCUGCCCUCUCUCCUUGUUCAGUGCUGUGCAAUAAUAAAAUUCCUACUUUCUUCCACCAAACCUGGUGUCAGAGAUUGGC
rnacentral:lncRNA from 1 species